AAUUUCAGGUGAACCUGAUUCUUAUCCAAGGAAGGCCUGAAUUGGGCCAGGUGCCCAUUUUCCGUCCCGACAAUUACACCCACUUCGACGUGUAUGCCAAUGCACUCAGUAAAGCGCAUUACAACCCUUGGGCUUGCGAUUACAGGAGCGAGCCUGGAUAUAAAUGCCUCAGCUGCAGUAGUGCGCUCCACUGCUAUCCCGGUAACUUCGCACUAUUAGUUCAGUGCGCCGGGAUUUUUCCAUUCUGCCGCAAUGGUUAUUGUUCGAGGUUCAAAACUGAAGGAUGCCUUGAAGAAGCUGAUCCUAAUACUGCACAUAGCCACAGCAGUACAAUGCCGCCUUACGUCCAAGUGUUUAAUAAGGGUAACAAAACUACAACCGCAAAUCAACCAGUAGCGCAAAUUGCAGUAGAUAACUCUGAACAGCAAGUAGCUACGAAUACAGUUGCCACUGAACUGAACAAACCGAACGAAAUUAAUGCUCCAAGCGUGACGUCAGCACAUGCAAGCGAAACGGCGAACUCUAACAAGAAACCUAAGCGAUAUGUUCCAUAUUCAUCAGAUGGCGGCGAAGUGAACUGGUUAUGAAGUACUAUGUCUAUAUCGAAUUAUG